rnacentral:tRNA from 1 species
UGGCAAGAUGGCCGAGUUGGUCUAAGGCGUUAGACUCAAGAAAAUCUUCUUCGCUGUAAAACAGUGAGCAUUCUAAUCUCGCAAGAGGCACGGGUUCGAAUCCCGUUCUUGUCAA